AUAAACCUAGUCGUUCGCGUACAUAGGGGCAACCCUCGCGUGAUGUCAGCAAUACCUAGGUAACCCUUGAAUAAACUACCCUUGUUGCUUUGGCGGGCCGCCGUCUCGGCCAGCGGCUUCGGCUGCUGCGCGCCCGCCAGAGGACCACAACUCUUGUUUUUAGUGAUGUCUGAGUACUAUAUAAUAGUUAAAACUUUCAACAACGGAUCUCUUGGUUCUGGCAUCGAUGAAGAACGCAGCGAAAUGCGAUAAGUAAUGUGAAUUGCAGAAUUCAGUGAAUCAUCGAAUCUUUGAACGCACAUUGCGCCCUUUGGUAUUCCGAAGGGCAUGCCUGUUCGAGCGUCAUUAUAACCACUCAAGCUCUCGCUUGGUAUUGGGGUGCGCGGUUCCGCGGCCUCUAAAGUCAGUGGCGGUGCCUGUCGGCUCUACGCGUAGUAAUACUCCUCGCGUCUGGGUCCGGUAGGUUGCUUGCCAACAACCCCCAAAUUUUUACAG
rnacentral:misc_RNA from 1 species